rnacentral:sRNA from 1 species
UUCCUUAUUCUUCUUCUUCUUCUUCCUCUUCAU